CUAAAUGUGCAAAGUUGGGGGUUUCUGCUUUUGAGUAAAUUCUAUUGGUGUCUGUGUUGCUUAAGAAAUAAUGACGUUGAAUCUAUCAACUCUGAAAAACCAUCUGCCUGGGAUCAUCUGAUUUCCUUAACUUGAUCUUCCCAACAAAAGAGGCGAGAAAUUCUGGGCGCGCAGGCCAAAGCGAGCCUCAGGGGCUCAGCGCUCCCAGCAGAACCGGUCUGACUCCAGGAAGAGACGGCCGCUUCCCUCCUCCAGAUCCCUCUCGGUCUUUCCUGCUGGCCUUCUGGAUCAGUCUCCCUGGUAUGGUCUAUCCCCCCACCUCCUUCCACCUGGGCUCUGUUGCUUCUCUUUCUCCCCACCACUCCACUUUCCCCAGAUUCUCGGUCCUCUCACCUCUAAAAUCCUACUUUAAAAGCGCAAAUACCCAACACGCUCCGGGAGACCCGCCCCGCGCCACCCCCGCCCCGCCCAUCGCCACCUUCAGGUUCACGGCUGGCAGCUCCAUCGCGACCCAGCCGGACAGCACCUGCGCCACAACCGCGGGGGCUCCUGGUCUCCGAACUCGGGAAACAAACUUGCCGGCCCCGCCCCGCCGACUGCCCUCUGCCCGCGCUCCAACCCCAGCUGGGCUGGGGGGCCACGUGAGUAGGUCAUGUGACGACUGCCCGGUAGCUAGGAGACGGCGUCUUGCCGCUCGAGCCUUCACCGCGCCACUGCCCAGUGAAAGUGAAGACGGUUACCUACCUCAUAGAAUCCUUGUGAGGAUGAAUGAACUAAUUCAUGUUUGAAGAAAAAAUGAAUCUGACACUUGCUUUAAAGGAGGGGAGAGACCACGUGGAAACCUGCAAAACUGCCUGGGUGGGUCCUAAGAUCCUAUCAAGACACAGACUCUCUCCAGAUACAAAGAAUGAAGUUUUCCAGGUGGAUGUGGGGUCUUCUGCAGGGCCCCGGAGUCUGCUGGCCUAUUUGAAUGUCCCUUUUGGAGACACAGCUGUCCAGCCCCCUGAGCAGAACAGCACAUCUGCCAGAAUAACGGAGAGCCGGUAAGCUUCAGAGAGAGACCGGACAGAUGACUACACUGGGCACGAUUGUUGGGAUUCAGAGCCCAGAGGACUAGCUGGACCAGAGAAAAGAGUUUGAGUCCUAACUUUGUCCACUUACUGGUUCUACUUGAGCAAGUCACUUUGCCUCUCUGUGCUUACAGUUUUCUAAUAUGUAAAAUGAGAGAAAUAAUAGUAUCUUCCUUGAAGGAUGGUUAUUUUGAAUUUGUUAAUAAGGAUUUGUUAAUAUAUAAAAACGUUUAGAACAUUGCCUGGCAGACAGCACUCAGUCAGGACUUGCUACUGUUUUGAUAUUCAUUAUUAGUUAAUUAUCAUUAAUUAUUGUUACUGGCAUAGUACCUAGAAGAGAGGAAUUCCUCAAUAACUAGUGGAUAUUAUAACAUUAUUAUUAUAUUGUUUCCUUCUAAGAGAUAUCUCCUAUAAACCCUAGAUUCUAGAGGUGUUUAAUCCAAGCAUGUAGGUAUAUAGUAAAACUGAUCACCUUGUAAGGAGAAAAUGCAAAACAAACAAUUCCUGGUAUUAGAGCUGACAUUUAUUAAGUACAGUUUUGUGGCAAACAAUGUGAAAAGUGCUCAUAAUAAAUAUUCAUAACAAC